AUUGAACGCUGGCGGCAGGCCUAACACAUGCAAGUCGAGCGGAUGAAGGGAGCUUGCUCCGGGAUUCAGCGGCGGACGGGGGAGUAAUGCCUAGGAAUCUGCCUGGUAGUGGGGGAGAACGUCCGGAAACGGGCGCUAAUACCGCAUACGUCCUGAGGGAGAAAGUGGGGGAUCUUCGGACCUCACGCGAUCAGAUGAGCCUAGGUCGGAUUAGCUAGUUGGUGGUGUAAAGGCCUACCAAGGCGACGAUCCGUAACUGGUCUGAGAGGAUGAUCAGUCACACUGGAACGACGAAACGGUCCAGACUCCUACGGGAGGCAACGAUGGGGAAUAUUGGACAAUGGGCGAAAGCCUGAUCCAGCCAUGCCGCGUGUGUGAAGAAGGUCUUCGGAUUGUAAAGCACUUUAAGUUGGGAGGAAGGGCAGUAAGUUAAUACCUUGCUGUUUUGACGUUCCCUACAGAAUAAGCACCGGCUAACUUCGUG
rnacentral:rRNA from 1 species